rnacentral:rRNA from 1 species
UACGACGGGUGCAAGCGUGAAUCGGACUUACUGGGCGUAAAGCGCGCGUAGGUGGUUCGUUAAGUUGGAUGUGAAAGCCCCGGGCUCAACCUGGGAACUGCAUCCAAAACUGGCGAGCUAGAGUAUGGCAGAGGGUGGUGGAAUUUCCUGUGUAGCGGUGAAAUGCGUAGAUAUAGGAAGGAACACCAGUGGCGAAGGCGACCACCUGGGCUAAUACUGACACUGAGGUGCGAAAGCGUGGGGAGAACACAGGAGGAGAUACCCGUGUAGUCC